rnacentral:rRNA from 1 species
UAAGACGUAGGAUGCAAGCGUUGUCCGGAUUUAUUGGGCGUAAAGAGUUCGUAGGUGGUUUGUUAAGUCUGAUGUUAAAGACUGGGGCUCAACCUCGGAAAUGCAUUGGAUACUGGCAGACUUGAGUGCAGUAGAGGCAAGUGGAAUUCCCAGUGUAGCGGUGAAAUGCGUAGAUAUUGGGAAGAACACCGGUGGCGCAAGCGACUUGCUGGGCUGUAACUGACGCUGAGGAACGAAAGCUAGGGGAGCAAAUGGG